UACGUAGGGGGCGAGCGUUACUCGGAAUUACUGGGCGUAAAGUGUGCGCAGGCGGCCGCGCAAGUCGAGUGUGAAAUCCCCGAGCUUAACUUGGGAAUUGCGCUCGAAACUACGUGGCUGGAGUGUGGCAGAGGAAGGUGGAAUUCCACGUGUAGCGGUGAAAUGCGUAGAUAUGUGGAGGAACACCGAUGGCGAAGGCAGCCUUCUGGGCCAACACUGACGCUCAUGCACGAAAGCGUGGGGAGCAAACAGG
rnacentral:rRNA from 1 species